rnacentral:rRNA from 1 species
GUGAACCUGCGGAAGGAUCAUUACAGAGCUUCUAAGCUUAAGGGGAUAAAACCUCUGAGCGAGAACUCCACCCUUUGUUUACAUACCUUUGUUGCUUUAGCAGGCCCGCUCUCGAGCCGCCGGCAAUAGCUGGUCCGCGCCUGCUAGAGGACCUAAAACUCAUGUUAAUAAUAUUGUCUGAGUACUAUAAUAAUAGUUAAAACUUUCAACAACGGAUCUCUUGGUUCUGGCAUCGAUGAAGAACGCAGCGAAAUGCGAUAAGUAAUGUGAAUUGCAGAAUUCAGUGAAUCAUCGAAUCUUUGAACGCACAUUGCGCCCUCUGGUAUUCCGGGGGGCAUGCCUGUUCGAGCGUCAUUACAACCCUCAAGCUCUGCUUGGUAUUAGGCUUCACCUGCUACAGGCGGGCCUCAAAAUCAGUGGCGGUGCCUUCUGGCUUCAAGCGUAGUAAUAUUUCUCGUUUGGGAGUACCGGUUGCGUACCUGCUAUAAAACCCCAAUUUUUAAAGGUUGACCUCGGAUCAGGUAGGGAUACCCGCUGAACUUAAGCAUAUCAAAAGGCGGGAGGAAA